rnacentral:rRNA from 1 species
GACAGAGGCCUCAAGCGUUAGGCGGAAUCACUGGGCUUAAAGCGUGUGUAGGCGGAUCGUUAAGUGCCUUGUGAAAUCCCACGGCUCAACCGUGGAACUGCUGGGCAUACUGGCGGUCUUGGGCCAUUCAGGGGCGACUGGAACAAGCGGUGGAGCGGUGAAAUGCGUAGAUAUCGCUUGGAACGCCGAAGGUGAAAACAGGUCGCUGGGGAUGUGCCGACGCUGAGACACGAAAGCCAGGGGAGCAAACGGG